rnacentral:rRNA from 1 species
GCGUAGUCGAUGGGAAACAGGUUAAUAUUCCUGUACUUGGUGUUACUGCGAAGGGGGGACGGAGAAGGCUAUGUUGGCCGGGCGACGGUUGUCCCGGUUUAAGCGUGUAGGCUGGUUUUCCAGGCAAAUCCGGAAAAUCAAGGCUGAGGCGUGAUGACGAGGCACUACGGUGCUGAAGCGACAAAUGCCCUGCUUCCAGGAAAAGCCUCUAAGCAUCAGGUAACAUCAAAUCGUACCCCAAACCGACACAGGUGGUCAGGUAGAGAAUACCAAGGCGCUUGAGAGAACUCGGGUGAAGGAACUAGGCAAAAUGGUGCCGUAACUUCGGGAGAAGGCACGCUGAUAUGUAGGUGAAGCGACUUGCUCGUGGAGCUGAAAUCAGUCGAAGAUACCAGCUGGCUGCAACUGUUUAUUAAAAACACAGCACUGUGCAAACACGAAAGUGGACG